rnacentral:lncRNA from 1 species
AUUGCAAAUUUAAUAAAGACUAAUAGUGAAAAUCAAUGGUGGCAUUACACUUUUAGACGGAUUUUCAUUGAGUUUUUGGCCUAGGUAUACCUACAAAAUGUCGAUAAUCUUUAUCGCCGAAACGUACAUAAAUGUUGCUAAAAAGACAAUUGACGGCUUCAAUCAUCUCAUCACAACUUCAGUUAGUAUGUUGAGCAUAUUUACGUAUUCAUGCUUAAUAAAAUAGAUAUGUUUUUGGUGUAAAACAUGAAAAAGAUCACAAUAUUCUGUGACGUUCAAUGUUGUACAUUACGGCCUGAUUGCUGGAAAAACAUACCAAAAGUCGCUCAGAAUCUGGACUUAUACACAUACAACUGAAAUCCUUGAGGUCGUCUUCCUCCUUAUCUAUAAGAAUUCUGCUAUUUAAUCCGCACGGCGAAAUUAUAUAUAUAGAGUUAUUAAAUUUGCUGAAAACAUAAACAUAUUUUCUCUUAUCAACUGCAAUUCCUACUGGCAUUUUUACUCUAUCGGGAUACAUCCAUAUUUGUUUUCCGAAUAAAUCAUAGCAUAGAACCUCAUCGUCUUUCUCAUGUACACUAUAAAUUUCAUUGUUUCUACAUGUAAAGCGUUCGCCCCGUAUUUUCAAAGACCCAUUUGUGUUGCCCUCUAAGUCUGCAACGACGACAUUAUCCUUACGUGGAAAUCCUACAAUC